UUCUCGUUAGAUCACCGAAGUUAAGCAUCAUUGGGCGCGGUCAGUACUUGGGUGGGUGACCACCUGGGAACACUGCGUGCCGUU